GACGAACCGUGCGAACGUUAUUCGGAAUCACUGGGCUUAAAGGGCGCGUAGGCGGCGUGACAAGUCACUUGUGAAAUCUCCGGGCUUAACCCGGAGCGGCCAAGCGAUACUGUCGUGCUAGAGUGCGGAAGGGGCUACUGGAAUUCUCGGUGUAGCGGUGAAAUGCGUAGAUAUCGAGAGGAACACCUGCGGCGAAGGCGGGUAGCUGGGCCGACACUGACGCUGAGGCGCGAAAGCCAGGGGAGCGAACGGG
rnacentral:rRNA from 1 species